CAGUACAGAGUCAAUGUGGAGGCUAUAUACAGGGUAUUACGGUACAGAGUCAAUGUGGAGGCUAUAUACAGGGGCUACCGGUACAGAGUCAAUGUGGAGGCUAUAUACAGGGGCUACCGGUACAGAGUCAAUGUGGAGGUUAUAUACAGGUGCUACCGGUACAGAGUCAAUGUGGAGGUUAUAUACAGGGGGUACCGGUACAGAGUCAAUGUGGAGGCUAUAUACAGGGGCUACCGGUACAGAGUCAAUGUGGAGGCUAUAUACAGGGGCUACCGGUACAGAGUCAAUGUGGAGACUAUAUACAGGGGGUACUGGUAAAGAGUCAAUGUGGAGGCUAUAUACAGGGGGUACAGGUACAGAGUCAAUGUGGAGGCUAUAUACAGGGGUACUGGUACAGAGUCAAUGUGGAGGCUAUAUACAGGGGUACCGGUACAGAGUCAAUGUGGAGGCUAUAUACAGGGGUACUGGUACAGAGUCAAUGUGGAGGCUAUAUACAGGGGUACUGGUACAGAGUCAAUGUGGAGGCUAUAUACAGGGGGUACCGGUACAGAGUCAAUGUGGAGGCUAUAUACAGGGGGUACCGGUACAGAGUCAAUGUGGAGGCUAUAUACAGGGGGUACCGGUACAGAGUCAAUGUGGAGGCUAUAUACAGUGG
ensembl:lncRNA